AAAUUGAAGAGUUUGAUCAUGGCUCAGAUUGAACGCUGGCGGCAGGCCUAACACAUGCAAGUCGAACGGUAACAGGAAGCAGCUUGCUGCUUUGCUGACGAGUGGCGGACGGGUGAGUAAUGUCUGGGAAACUGCCUGAUGGAGGGGGAUAACUACUGGAAACGGUGGCUAAUACCGCAUAACGUCGCAAGACCAAAGAGGGGGACCUUCGGGCCUCUUGCCAUCAGAUGUGCCCAGAUGGGAUUAGCUUGUUGGUGAGGUAACGGCUCACCAAGGCGACGAUCCCUAGCUGGUCUGAGAGGAUGACCAGCCACACUGGAACUGAGACACGGUCCAGACUCCUACGGGAGGCAGCAGUGGGGAAUAUUGCACAAUGGGCGCAAGCCUGAUGCAGCCAUGCCGCGUGUAUGAAGAAGGCCUUCGGGUUGUAAAGUACUUUCAGCGGGGAGGAAGGUGUUGCGGUUAAUAACCGCAGCAAUUGACGUUACCCGCAGAAGAAGCACCGGCUAACUCCGUGCCAGCAGCCGC
rnacentral:rRNA from 1 species